GUUAGGAAUAUUGGACAAUGGGCGAAAGCCUGAUCCAGCCAUGCCGCGUGAACGAUGAAGGCCUUCGGGUUGUAAAGUUCUUUAGCCGAUGAUUAUAAUGACUGUAGUCGGAAAAUAAGCCCCGGCUAACUUCGUGCCAGCAGCCGCGGUAAUACGAAGGGGGCGAGCGUUAUUCGGAAUCACUGGGCGUAAAGCGUGCGUAGGCGGUUUUGUAAGUUAGGAGUGAAAGCCCAGGGCUCAACCUUGGAAUUGCUCUUAAAACUGCAAGGCUCGAAUCUCGGAGAGGAUAGCGGAAUUUCCAGUGUAGCAGUGAAAUGCGUAGAUAUUGGAAGGAACACCAGUGGCGUAAGCGGCUAUCUGGACGAGUAUUGACGCUGAGGCACGAAAGCGUGGGGAUCAAACAGGAUUAGAAACCCGGGUAGUCC
rnacentral:rRNA from 1 species